UGAGGAAUAUUGGUCAAUGGACGCAAGUCUGAACCAGCCAAGUAGCGUGCAGGAUGACGGCCCUAUGGGUUGUAAACUGCUUUUAUAUGGGGAUAAAGUGGGGAACGUGUUCCCUUUUGCAGGUACCAUAUGAAUAAGGACCGGCUAAUUCCGUGCCAGCAGCCGCGGUAAUACGUAAGGUCCGAGCGUUGUCCGGAAUCAUUGGGCGUAAAGGGUACGUAGGCGGAUAAGCAAGUUAGAAGUGAAAUCCUAUAGCUCAACUAUAGUAAGCUUUUAAAACUGCUCAUCUUUGGAUAUGGAAGGGAAAGUGGAAUUCCUAGUGUAGCGGUGAAAUGCGCAGAUAUUAGGAGGAAUACCGGUGGCGAAGGCGACUUUCUGGCCAUAAUCUGACGCUGAGGUACGAAAGCGUGGGUAGCAAACAGG
rnacentral:rRNA from 1 species